rnacentral:rRNA from 1 species
UACGUAGGGGGCGAGCGUUGUCCGGAAUCACUGGGCGUAAAGGGCACGCAGGCGGCCAGCCAAGUCAUGGGUGAAAUACCGGGGCUUAACUCCGGGGGUGCCUGUGAAACUGGUUGGCUUGAGGGUCGGAGAGGGCAGUGGAAUUCCCGGUGUAGCGGUGAUAUGCGUAGAGAUCGGGAGGAACACCAGUGGCGAAGGCGACUGCCUGGACGAUACCUGACGCUCAGGUGCGAAAGCUCGGGGAGCGAACGGG